ACGCGUGCCACCUGCUGCUUUCUCUCCCAUUUUGAUUUCAUCAUUCUCAAACCAGUUUUUCAAAACCCUUAAAAAUCCUACCUCAACCCUCUGCCGAUCCCUCCCACGCAUCCACCCUCUUUCCGCCGCCGCCUUGAAUAGGUCGAUGCUGGAAAAGGAUCCAUCUUCAUAUAUCUCAGAACAGUGGUAUAAAUAUAGUUUUGAUAGAUAUUCCUUGGCUGAGACUACUCAUCCUAUAAUCUGGAGUAGUUUGAUCAAAUAAUUCAUGUGUUAUAGUCUUCUUUCAAGAAAGUAUAAGAGAUAGAAAGAGGGAGCCGGUGAUAGAAAAGUGAACUCUGGGGAAGUUGCGUUGAUUGUAUUGGCGUGUCAACCCUAUGAAUCGAAGCUUAGAGCACGUUGAGGCUCAUGAUGAUGAUCUUUUGUCUAAUUACAAAACAGUGGUGGGUCAAUUGAAACCUCAUAUAGUCGACAACUAAGGUUCAUGACUCGAAGGUGAUGACGGAGACGAUGAGGGUUAGGUUUCAGGCGAUAGAUGGUGUCAAACAAUGGUCGUGUGGAACAUAUGGACGGUCGGCUCCGCUCAAAAUAGGGGGACGCAUUUCGGUCACCUUAUAGUUCAGAGAGUUGAAGGUACCAACGAUUAAGAAGGCGAUAUGUUUGACAUAUAGCCCACAAAAAAUGAUUGCUUUCUUAAUUUUCUACCCUAAUAAGUCUUGCAAGGAACAGGUUGACUAUAUAUUAGGAGAUGGGUCAAUGAAGAUGACUUAUAUGGUAGGAUAUGGGCACAAACUGCCCCAUAAGAGUUCAUCAUAGAGUAACUCACCCGCAAUUAUUUGGAUGUGUAGGAUAAGUAAAUCUCUAAUUCCUUUUCCCAAUUAAAUGGUUUCUCAUUAAAAGAACAUAAAAAAAAAACUAAGACAACACAACAAUUAUCUGAGUUUUUCUUGGUGUUUAUUAGUUUAUUACUUUCAAAUGAGCUUCUUCCUUUCAGUAGUACAAAUGAAGAAUUUAACGUCUCACGUUUUUAUGUUGUGUGCUGACUAUGAAUUUGUCUUAUAUUGUAAAUUUGUAGUUAUGUAUAUAUCAUUGCAUCGAUCUUUAAUAUACCAGGAUUUGGUUGGAUAGGAUGGUGAUGAGCCGCCUUAGUUCAUGUUGUUGGCUGGAGAAAGGUUUGCAUGGCCAAACUUAACUGGAUGCUAUAGAAAUAGUGAGUCACUUCUUUGUAGAGUAAUUUGUAAGGUUUUAAGUUUGGCCUUUUGUUUUGUUCAGGAUACGUUUGCUUCAACACUGAAUCAUGUGUGUUUGUAUAUAUAUGUUUCAUUUUCGGUUAGAUUUUUUGGCUGUUUGACAGGCGCCGCUUUUGGCUGUUUGACAGGCGCCGCAACGCGGCGCGGGCUAAAAAACCUAGUUAGAUUAACAAGCAAAACUUUUAAAUAAGAAAAUCUAAGGAUGAUUGGGGAACUUUUAAAAAAAAAGAAAUAAAAUAAAAUCUAUAUAUUGACUUCAUUCUUUCACAUUUUUUAACUCAAAUUCUCCCUUUACACCAUAACUUUUUCUCAAUUUCUUAAAUUCUUCUAUCCAAAUAUUCAACCAAAUCUUUUUACACCACAAUAAGUAUAACAAUUUAUAUCUUCCCCCGAUGAGUUCUAUUUGUUUGAUGACAGUAGCCUAGAAUUUUUCGUGGAUAUUGUCACCAAAUCCGGACGUGUAGACAUGGCAAGAUCCAGAAAAAAUAAUGUGCAUGAUGUAUUGCAAAAUACAUCUAUUUAUCAUGUAAAGUUUGUACAUAUUUCGAGCCAUUUUGUGUCGUUUUUAGGGUUAGAAUUGAUUACUACUUAUAGGUUCGUUAAUUUCAGGUCUCAAGCGCUAGAGUUGCUGAAAAUUUAGAAAACAUGCUAAGCGAGAAGAAUUACCAAGAUCCGGACGAGACGCGGUUAAACGGAAACUGAAACAACAAAGGAAUGCUGGAAAAAGUUGACGCCACGUCACGACACCAUAAAACACCAAAGCCUUCGCGUGAUGCGACGGCAUUAAAGGGGUGUUUGGGAGUGCUUAUUUUAGUGACUUAUUAGUUUAUUGACUUUUUGAAAAGUUAAAAAGUGUUUGGGUGAAACUAUUUUGUGAGGGGAAAAGUCAAUAAGUCACUCCAUUGUGACUUAUUAACUUUUCCAAAAAGUUAUAAAUUGUUUUGAAAAGCUAAGCCAAACAUGGCCUAAAUAUAAUAAAGAUGAAAGAUAGCGCCGCCUAGCGGGACGA